rnacentral:rRNA from 1 species
AACCCGAAAGACCUGUCUCAGUUCGGAUUGGAGCUGCAACCCGACUCCAUGAAGCUGGAUUCGCUAGUAAUCGCGCAUCAGCCACGGCGCGGUGAAUACGUUCCCGGGCCUUGUACACACCGCCCGUCACACCAUGAGAGUUGGGAAUACCCGAAGCCUGUGAGCUAACAUUUAUGAGGCAGCAGUCGAAGGUAGAAUCAAUGAUUGGGGUGAAGUCGUAACAAGGUAAC